rnacentral:rRNA from 1 species
UAAUACCGGCGGCUCGAGUGGUGGCCACUUUUAUUGGGCUUAAAGCGUUCGUAGCUGGGUAGGUCACUGCUAUCGGGGUUCGAUUAAGCCAUGCGAGUCGAGAGGGUUCGGCCCUCGGCGUACUGCUCAGUAACACGUGGAUAACCUGCCCUAAGGAAGGGGAUAACCCCGGGAAACUGGGGAUAAUACCCUAUAGGUUACAGAUGCUGGAAUGCCCUGUAACCCAAAGCUCCGGCGCCUUAGGAUGGAUCUGCGGCCGAUUAGGUUGUUGUUGGGGUAACGGCCCAACAAGCCAGUAAUCGGUACGGGUUGUGGGAGCAAGAGCCCGGAGUUGGAUUCUGAGACACGAAUCCAGGCCCUACGGGGCGCAGCAGGCGCGAAAACUUUACAAUGCGGGCAACCGUGAUAAGGGAACCUCGAGUGCCUGUACAUGCAGGCUGUUCGGGUGUCUAAAACACACCUGAAGAAAGGGCCGGGCAAGACCGGUGCCAGCCGCCGCGGUGUUAAGUCUCUUGGGAAAUCUGACGGCUCAACCGUCAGGCGUCUAAGGGAUACUGGCAAUCUUGGAACCGGGAGAGGUGAGGGGUACUUCGGGGGUAGGAGUGAAAUCCUGUAAUCCUCGAGGGACCACCUGUGGCGAAGGCGCCUCACCAGAACGGCUUCGACAGUGAGGGACGAAAGCUGGGGGAGCAAACCGGAUUAGAUACCCGGGUAGUCCCAGCCGUAAACGAUGCGCGUUAGGUGUAUCGGUGACCACGAGUCACCGAGGUGCCGAAGGGAAACCGUGAAACGUGCCGCCUGGGAAGUACGGUCGCAAGGCUGAAACUUAA